rnacentral:rRNA from 1 species
GGUUAAGCGACUAAGCGUACACGGUGGAUGCCCUGGCAGUCAGAGGCGAUGAAGGACGUGCUAAUCUGCGAUAAGCGUCGGUAAGGUGAUAUGAACCGUUAUAACCGGCGAUUUCCGAAUGGGGAAACCCAGUGUGUUUCGACACACUAUCAUUAACUGAAUCCAUAGGUUAAUGAGGCGAACCGGGGGAACUGAAACAUCUAAGUACCCCGAGGAAAAGAAAUCAACCGAGAUUCCCCCAGUAGCGGCGAGCGAACGGGGAGCAGCCCAGAGCCUGAAUCAGUGUGUGUGUUAGUGGAAGCGUCUGGAAAGGCGCGCGAUACAGGGUGACAGCCCCGUACACAAAAAUGCACAUGCUGUGAGCUCGAUGAGUAGGGCGGGACACGUGGUAUCCUGUCUGAAUAUGGGGGGACCAUCCUCUAAGGCUAAAUACUCCUGACUGACCGAUAGUGAACCAGUACCGUGAGGGAAAGGCGAAAGAACCCCGGCGAGGGGAGUGAAAAAGAACCUGAAACCGUGUACGUACAAGCAGUGGGAGCACGCUUAGGCGUGUGACUGCGUACCUUUUGUAUAAUGGGUCAGCGACUUAUAUUCUGUAGCAAGGUUAACCGAAUAGGGGAGCCGAAGGGAAACCGAGUCUUAACUGGGCGUUAAGUUGCAGGGUAUAGACCCGAAACCCGGUGAUCUAGCCAUGGGCAGGUUGAAGGUUGGGUAACACUAACUGGAGGACCGAACCGACUAAUGUUGAAAAAUUAGCGGAUGACUUGUGGCUGGGGGUGAAAGGCCAAUCAAACCGGGAGAUAGCUGGUUCUCCCCGAAAGCUAUUUAGGUAGCGCCUCGUGAAUUCAUCUCCGGGGGUAGAGCACUGUUUCGGCAAGGGGGUCAUCCCGACUUACCAACCCGAUGCAAACUGCGAAUACCGGAGAAUGUUAUCACGGGAGACACACGGCGGGUGCUAACGUCCGUCGUGAAGAGGGAAACAACCCAGACCGCCAGCUAAGGUCCCAAAGUCAUGGUUAAGUGGGAAACGAUGUGGGAAGGCCCAGACAGCCAGGAUGUUGGCUUAGAAGCAGCCAUCAUUUAAAGAAAGCGUAAUAGCUCACUGGUCGAGUCGGCCUGCGCGGAAGAUGUAACGGGGCUAAACCAUGCACCGAAGCUGCGGCAGCGACGCUUAUGCGUUGUUGGGUAGGGGAGCGUUCUGUAAGCCUGCGAAGGUGUGCUGUGAGGCAUGCUGGAGGUAUCAGAAGUGCGAAUGCUGACAUAAGUAACGAUAAAGCGGGUGAAAAGCCCGCUCGCCGGAAGACCAAGGGUUCCUGUCCAACGUUAAUCGGGGCAGGGUGAGUCGACCCCUAAGGCGAGGCCGAAAGGCGUAGUCGAUGGGAAACAGGUUAAUAUUCCUGUACUUGGUGUUACUGCGAAGGGGGGACGGAGAAGGCUAUGUUGGCCGGGCGACGGUUGUCCCGGUUUAAGCGUGUAGGCUGGUUUUCCAGGCAAAUCCGGAAAAUCAAGGCUGAGGCGUGAUGACGAGGCACUACGGUGCUGAAGCAACAAAUGCCCUGCUUCCAGGAAAAGCCUCUAAGCAUCAGGUAACAUCAAAUCGUACCCCAAACCGACACAGGUGGUCAGGUAGAGAAUACCAAGGCGCUUGAGAGAACUCGGGUGAAGGAACUAGGCAAAAUGGUGCCGUAACUUCGGGAGAAGGCACGCUGAUAUGUAGGUGAAGCGACUUGCUCGUGGAGCUGAAAUCAGUCGAAGAUACCAGCUGGCUGCAACUGUUUAUUAAAAACACAGCACUGUGCAAACACGAAAGUGGACGUAUACGGUGUGACGCCUGCCCGGUGCCGGAAGGUUAAUUGAUGGGGUUAGCGCAAGCGAAGCUCUUGAUCGAAGCCCCGGUAAACGGCGGCCGUAACUAUAACGGUCCUAAGGUAGCGAAAUUCCUUGUCGGGUAAGUUCCGACCUGCACGAAUGGCGUAAUGAUGGCCAGGCUGUCUCCACCCGAGACUCAGUGAAAUUGAACUCGCUGUGAAGAUGCAGUGUACCCGCGGCAAGACGGAAAGACCCCGUGAACCUUUACUAUAGCUUGACACUGAACAUUGAGCCUUGAUGUGUAGGAUAGGUGGGAGGCUUUGAAGUGUGGACGCCAGUCUGCAUGGAGCCGACCUUGAAAUACCACCCUUUAAUGUUUGAUGUUCUAACGUUGACCCGUAAUCCGGGUUGCGGACAGUGUCUGGUGGGUAGUUUGACUGGGGCGGUCUCCUCCUAAAGAGUAACGGAGGAGCACGAAGGUUGGCUAAUCCUGGUCGGACAUCAGGAGGUUAGUGCAAUGGCAUAAGCCAGCUUGACUGCGAGCGUGACGGCGCGAGCAGGUGCGAAAGCAGGUCAUAGUGAUCCGGUGGUUCUGAAUGGAAGGGCCAUCGCUCAACGGAUAAAAGGUACUCCGGGGAUAACAGGCUGAUACCGCCCAAGAGUUCAUAUCGACGGCGGUGUUUGGCACCUCGAUGUCGGCUCAUCACAUCCUGGGGCUGAAGUAGGUCCCAAGGGUAUGGCUGUUCGCCAUUUAAAGUGGUACGCGAGCUGGGUUUAGAACGUCGUGAGACAGUUCGGUCCCUAUCUGCCGUGGGCGCUGGAGAACUGAGGGGGGCUGCUCCUAGUACGAGAGGACCGGAGUGGACGCAUCACUGGUGUUCGGGUUGUCAUGCCAAUGGCACUGCCCGGUAGCUAAAUGCGGAAGAGAUAAGUGCUGAAAGCAUCUAAGCACGAAACUUGCCCCGAGAUGAGUUCUCCCUGACUCCUUGAGAGUCCUGAAGGAACGUUGAAGACGACGACGUUGAUAGGCCGGGUGUGUAAGCGCAGCGAUGCGUUGAGCUAACCGGUACUAAUGAACCGUGAGGCUUAACCUU